rnacentral:rRNA from 1 species
AGUGAACGCUGGCGGUAGGCCUAACACAUGCAAGUCGAACGGCAGCACAGUAAGAGCUUGCUCUUACGGGUGGCGAGUGGCGGACGGGUGAGGAAUACAUCGGAAUCUACUUUUUCGUGGGGGAUAACGUAGGGAAACUUACGCUAAUACCGCAUACGACCUACGGGUGAAAGCAGGGGAUCUUCGGACCUUGCGCGAUUGAAUGAGCCGAUGUCGGAUUAGCUAGUUGGCGGGGUAAAGGCCCACCAAGGCGACGAUCCGUAGCUGGUCUGAGAGGAUGAACAGCCACACUGGAACUGAAACAGGGCCAAGACCCCAACGGGAGGCAGCAGGGGGGAAAUUUGGAAAAGGGGCGAAAGCCUGACCCAGCCAUACCGGGGGGGUGAAGAAGGCCUUCGGGUUGAAAAGCCCUUUUGUUGGGAAAAAAAAGCAGCAGGUUAAACCCCCGCUGUUCUGACGGUACCAAAAAAAAAAGCACCGGCUAACUUCGG